GUCCAGCCCCUUUUUCCUGCUUGAAGGGCCUCCAAAGCAUGAUGGAAGCAGAAAGGAUAUAUUUAUACUCCACAGAAGUCUACUGAGAAGAAUUCACCCUUGUGCACCAGCAUGGGUCCUGCAGGCCACUUUAGACUGAGUGUGAUCUGCGUUAUCCCAGUGCAGAGGCUAUGUGGAGUUGACUGGAAGCUUGGGCAAAUGAGCUUGUCUUGUUAUCACCCCAGGAGCCAUUGAUACAGAGAUCCUCAUCAUGGUAUCCUGUGAUACUGAAGUACUCAAUGAGAUCAUACUUGGGGCAGCAACACAGUCCAAAGCACUUUAAAUUAAACAUUUUUCAUUUGCCAAUUACCUCUACUGCAAAUACACUGGAAGAAAAUGUGGUUUACAAAUCAUGGAGAAAAUGUAUUUUACAAAUCAUAGAGAAAAUGUAUUAGCAAUAUUCUUUUAACAGUUCGAACUGCUUUACUUUGCUGCUCUACAAAUGAAGAGAAUAAAUGAAUUUAUCCUAAUAAAGGUCAUAUG